rnacentral:rRNA from 1 species
UACGGGAGGCAGCAGUGGGGAAUAUUGCACAAUGGGCGCAAGCCUGAUGCAGCCAUGCCGCGUGUAUGAAGAAGGGCCUUCGGGUUGUAAAGUACUUUCAGCGGGGAGGAAGGCGAUGUGGUUAAUAACCGCGUCGAUUGACGUUACCCGCAGAAGAAGCACCGGCUAACUCCGUGCCAGCAGCCGCGGUAAUACGGAGGGUGCAAGCGUUAAUCGGAAUUACUGGGCGUAAAGCGCACGCAGGCGGUCUGUUUAAGUCAGAUGUGAAAUCCCCGGGCUUAACCUGGGAACUGCAUUUUGAAACUGGCAGGCUUGAGUCUCGUAGAGGGGGUAGAAUUCCAGGUGUAGCGGUGAAAUGCGUAGAGAUCUGGAGGAAUACCGGUGGCGAAGGCGGCCCCUGGGACGAAGCUGACGCUCAGGGUGCGAAAGCUGGGGAGCAAACAGGAUUAGGAUACC